AAGACAGCAUUUGCAGGGUGGCAAGACCAAACCAGAGGAGCCCUGCUCUCUCUCCAGUGGGUGGAGCAGAAGGCAGCUGACACCCACAACCUGGUUCCCACCACAGCAAACUCGUGGUGAAGAAGACAAUGAGCCAAGCCGAGCUGAGCAGAGGAAAGCGACAAGGAUGAUCAAGGGCCGGGAGACUGAGCCCUACAAGGGAAGGCAGAGGGAUUUGGAGUGUUCCGUCUGGAAAAGAAGAGGUCGAGGGGGACAUGGUUGCUCUUUUUAAGCUGUGGACAGCUUAAAAUAGCUGUGGACAGUAAUGGAAUGACGGGAAGCACCCUGUUGAACAUCCACAAAUGGGCCAUCUUUAGAACACAUCUAUGUGGAUGAAAGAGUCAGGAAACCAACACUACAUUACUGGAAGUCCAUAAAAGCAUUGGCAUGCAUUCAUGACCAAUGGGCAACACAGCUACUGGUCCCCAGAAACAACUGCCCUUCAUGUUAUUUUUGGACACACGGAGAUGUAAAAAAAUUGAUGAUCCUGUCCUUCAGAGCUCCAAAGCAAUCAAUUGCAACGGUAACAAAUGACAUUAUUACACCAUCUCACUACUUGGCCUUGGAAGGAGGAGCACAAUUAUUCCAAAAUUUAUCAGCUGUUGCUUCGCCAAUAAUGUUUCUGGAUCAAAUAACAGUCCAUCAUCUAUCCUAGUCCCUGUGAACCUAAAUCCCCUGUUCUGAAAACAGGCUCCACAGUGGAAAACGGAAAGAAAAUCCAAUGCGUUACAAGUUCCUUCUGCUCAUUUGUUACGUUCCAUCCUUGAGGACAUUUAUCGCUUUAUCAGUACUAAAAAGGUUUGCUUGCCUAAUGCAAUCCAGGAGGGAACAAAGUAUUUCCUGCUUCAGUUUCACUUUGUGGGACUGCGUGGCUGUGCUCAAAGUGUGAAUAAUGCUCUUGCGUCUGCCAGGAUCGCCAGGCGGCUAAAUCAGUUGAAUAAACUGUUCAGCAAAACAGAGGAGAUCCUUGCAAUGCGAAAUCUGCCACAAUCCCAAAGGACUCUCACCACACCGGCUCCCACAACAAACACCUACACAAAGCAAAGAGUGAAGAGCUAGCUGCCCUUUCCCUAGGCCUCCCUUCCCAGCUCCUCAACUGCCAAUAUGGACC